rnacentral:lncRNA from 1 species
CGGCAGCCGGCGGGGCCCCCCGGAGCUGCCCCAGCGCCGAGCAACGGGGCCCGGAGCCGGGUUCUGCCCGUCGGCAUUAUCAAAGUGAGUGCGUAAGCUUAACCUGUGGUGAGCAUACAGCGUGCAACCCGAAAGUGAAACCAGAACUGAGAUUUCACCCGUAACAUCCAGCAGCAAAACACCCUAAGUGGGGCUCCGGUUGUAGGUGCUGUGGUGCCUCAGUGCCCAGGGAUGCCUUUGUCUUCAUCUUCACUUUCUUCCUUCAAGGAUCGAAUGAGCAACUCGCAUUCUUGGAGGUAAAGUCCAAGUUCUAAUUCCUGCCUCACCUGCUGAUCAUCAGGUGGACUGCUGAGGCUCGAGCUCAGGAGCAACCCGUAUUGAAAAGUCUGCAUCCAAAAGGAUGGCCGCUCUUGCCUCUGGUUCUAAAAACUGUACGUAAUGACUCAGCUCUCACUAGAGCCAUAGUGCUGCAUCCAGUUUCCCUGCUGGUGGAAGCUCCAGUAGAACCUUCUCAUCCCCAGAGAAGCACAUGAGAGAAGUCCUAGCUGUCCUAGGAACUCCUUGCUGUAAUGAACUGCAUCCCCAAAGCCUCCCGCAUGCAAGCACCUCUGCAGCACUGAAGCGGUGAAUGAUGGCAUCAGAAGGCAAUAUGGAGAACGCAGUGGCCAGUUUCGUGUGGGACACACCUGAGCAACUGGGAGCUGAUGCUCCACCAAAACUCAAGAUGGAACUCAGCAAGAUCCAGCCCACAGGGGGUACAAGCACAGCACGACGGAGCUGUCACUAGCAGCACUUGUCAGCCUGCUGUACAGCUAUUACGGGCAGCCCUGCUACGUGGAGGGAACAGCAGACAUGCAGUGGUGUUGGUGCAUCAGGCUCAUGACCUCCUAGGGGGCAAUGUUCGAGCACCCAAGAGAGAACAUGGGAGCGCUACAAACUGAUGGCAAAGUGGGACAUCACAGCCAACUGCUGCCUGUGUAAGGAGCUGACAAGAAACAAUCCCUCCCUCUCCAUCUGAUAGGCAGUUGGAAGAGACUUUUAGAUGUCGUCCAGUCCACCUCCCCUGCAGUGAACAGGAUCAUCUACAGCUGGAUCAGGUUGACCCGGGCCUGAUCUUAGAGAUCUUCUAUGUUACAGACUCUGUGAUUGGUACAACUCUAAGACUCACGCUCCCCUCUGUGUCUCUCCAGAGGUAGUUCUUUAACACUACAUUUCCCCACCCCACCAAUCUGUCCUCUCUCCAGCAAGUAAGUGGAGCUACAUAGACGUAAAGGGUGGAUGGUAAAGCCAGAUGAGCUCCACCCUGUCAACCGUUUGCUGAACUGCAUCACCAUCCCAAAGUCCCCUCCUGUCCCAUUCUGCACAAGAGGGACAAAGAUCCAGACAGCCCUUGGCCUCUGUUUCCCCUCCUCCAGCUCUGUGUGAUGACAUCCUUGUGGUGCAGGGUGACACUCAAAG